rnacentral:rRNA from 1 species
CAGUUCGGUCCCUAUCCGUCGCGGGCGUAGGAAAUUUGAGAGGACCUGUCCUUAGUACGAGAGGACCGGGAUGGACAUACCUCUGGUGUACCAGUUGUGCCGCCAGGCGCAUCGCUGGGUAGCUACGUAUGGAUGUGAUAAACGCUGAAAGCAUCUAAGUGUGAAACACACCUCGAGAUGAGAUUUCCCAUUCCUUUAUGGAAGUAAGACCCCUGAAAGAUGAUCAGGUAGAUAGGUUAGAAGUGGCAGUGCGGUGACGCAUGAAGCGGACUAAUACUAAUCGGUCGAGGACUUAACCAAG